AACGCACAUUGCGCCCUCUGGUAUUCCGGAGGGCAUGCCUGUUCGAGCGUCAUUAUCACCCCUCAAGCCCGGCUUGUUGUUGGUCGCAGCGGGAGGCUCGCCCCCCCGCUCUUCCCAAAGAUAAUGACGGCGUCUGUGAGGACUCCUGUACACUGAGCUUUCGGGCACGUACUAGGCUAGAAGUCCAGACCCGGUCACCGUCCCCUUACAGGGACACUUUUCUUUUUACAAGGUUGACCUCGGAUCAGGUAGGGAUACCCGCUGAACUUAA
rnacentral:misc_RNA from 1 species